CAGCUGGACAGUGUCAUGAUGUGAAUACUGUUGAUACUGAUGAUGUGGAUGCUGAUGAUGUGGAUGAUGAUAAUGUGGAUGCCUCCGGACUGAAAUAGCUGGACAGUGCCAUGAUGUGAAUACUGUUGAUACUGAUGCUGUGGAUGCUGAUGAUGUGGGUGAUGAUAAUGUGGAUGCCUCCGGACUGAAAUAGCUGGACAGUGCCAUGAUGUGGAUACUGUUCAUACUGAUGAUGUGGAUACUGUUCAUACUGAUGAUAUAAUGCUGAUAAUGUGGAUAUUUAUGAUGUAGAUGCCCCGGGUGAUCAACCAGGGACUAAUAGAGCUGGACAGUGCCAUGAUGUGAAUACUGUUGAUACUGAUGAUGUGGAUGCUGAUGAUGUGGGUGAUGAUAAUGUGGAUGCCUCCGGACUGAAAUAGCUGGACAGUGCCAUGAUGUGGAUACUGUUCAUACUGAUGAUGUGGAUACUGUUCAUACUGAUGAUAUAAUGCUGAUAAUGUGGAUAUUUAUGAUGUAGAUGCCCCGGAUGAUCAACCAGGGACUAAUAGAGCUGGACAGUGCCAUGAUGUGAAUACUGAUGAUACUGAUGAUGUGGAUGCUGAUGAUGUGGAUGCGGAUGAUGUGGAUGCCUCCGUUGAUCAACCAGUGACUGAAAUAGCUGAACAGUGUCAUGAUGUGAAUACUGUUGAUACUGAUGAUGUGGAUGCUGAUGAUGUGGAUGUUGAUAAUGUUGAUGCCUCCGUUGAUCAACCAGGGACUGAAAUAGGUCAACUCAAUAGCAGUCGUAAAUGCUGGGAUUGGCACAAACCAUGAAAAACGAACAGCCACAGUCAGAACACCUUGGAGCUAGGCUGAAGAAGACGUGGUAGAAAAUGGCCUUAAAAACAGUUUUAAGCUUAAUACUCCACCAAAAAUAAGUUAAAAUGUCUUGAACUUAUAAAGAAGUAUCCAAUGCUUGCCAGGCGAUCAAGGACAAUGGUGAAAGGGUACAUUAGAACAAGGCAACUGGCCUUGCAAUAGGCUCAUCAAAAAGCAAACAAUUAAACAAAUAGAUACUUUAAAUUAUAGAAUAGACUAGAUUGCAUUUUGAUUUAAGCUUUAUAUCUGAAUACCAUCAGUGAUUGACAUUUUCUUUGGAUAUUGUUCUAUUUUUAUUUAUUUUUUAACAAUUAAAAAUUUGAAAUUGAA